GGUAUUGGGAUCGCCUGCUUUAACCUUUGCUACUUCGCUGUCUUUCCUCUCCAUGACAGGCCGUGGAAACGCUCUCACCUUCAACAAAGAAUUGCUGAAAGCUUCUCCCUUUUUAUAGUGAGACCGGGGUGUGAAUUGGUGCUAUUAAGAGGGCGAGGCUUGGGCUGGUUCGCACGCUAUGCUUCGUGCCAUGAGGAAAUUCAGGACUACGCAAGCAUCUCUGCUGAGGAGAGAAAAAGACUGAUUAUGGAUGACAUACACCAGGUUGAAGAUUUGUUUGCCGCCAUACCUUAAUGGUCCCAGGAUCAUGCCUAUGACUGGAAGUUGGAUUCCUCCAGGCCCACAGAGUGGUGUGUAUGUUGUUUGUAACCAGAGAUGUCUCAGCCACGAUUCUUUGUCUGAUAGGCCCAUACCGUUGUGUCCUUUGUCCAAUUUAGAGUUUAAGAGAUGGCCAUUAACCAAGAUGUCCACGUUCUAAAAUGAAAAUCCUUGAUCUUUGACCUUACCCGAAAGCAUGGCCAUGGGCCCUCUUGGUGUACAGUCUUGGCUUCAUGAAUCAUCUUUGGGUCUUCUGUACAUUUUGAAGUUUUGGCAUUGUGCAGUUUCCUGACAUGUCCAAUGCCGUUACAGUGAAAGCUUUGGGUGGAAAUUGCCAGAUAUUGAUCAUGCCUGUGGAGAAGCUUUGCUUUCACAGUGCUGGCAUCAUCGCUUUAUUGGUCGGUUAGGGUAUUGCAUCCCUUGGCCUUGAGUGUCCCCGUUUUACUAACUGGACAAUGGGGUUUCCUUUGUACCACGGUUUACUUUCUACUGUUAAAAAUGGUCCCGUUCUGCACACAGUGUUCAGACUGCCUAACAGUCUGAAUAGCUUUCUCGAAGGUUAGAUCUUCAUUCUCUUGCGGCAUGUCUGAAAGUGUGUUAUCCGUCACGCCUACAACUAUUCUAUCCCUGUUAAGUUCAGAUUUUAGGCCUCCAUAUUCACAGCCUUCAGCCAUUCUGUAUAGAUCAUUAAUGAAGGAUUCAACAGGUUGUCCUGGUUGCUUUGCAUGUUAAUUAAAUUUAGUCCUUUCAAAGACUUUGUUAUUUCUGAAGUCAAAAUAAACACCAGUUUAUUUUAAUACUU